UACGGGGGGGUGCGAGCGUUGUCCGGAAUCACUGGGCGUAAAGGGCGCGUAGGUGGUUUGAUAAGGGUGUGGUGAAAGCCCGGGGCUCAACCCCGGGUCUGCCGUGCCGACUGUCAAACUCGAGGGCUGUAGAGGCAGACGGAAUUCCGGGUGUAGCGGUGGAAUGCGCAGAUAUCAGGAGGAACACCGGUGGCGAAGGCGGGUCUCUGGGCAGUGAACUGACGCUGAGGAGCGAAAGCGUGGGGAGCGAACAGG
rnacentral:rRNA from 1 species